GCUCCGGUGGCGCAAUCGGUCAGCGCACGGUAUUUAUAAUGCCGAGGUUGUGAGUUCGAGCCUCACCUGGAGCA